AUUGAACGCUGGCGGCAUGCCUUACACAUGCAAGUCGAACGGUAACAGGUCUUCGGAUGCUGACGAGUGGCGAACGGGUGAGUAAUACAUCGGAACGUGCCCGAUCGUGGGGGAUAACGAAGCGAAAGCUUUGCUAAUACCGCAUACGAUCUACGGAUGAAAGCAGGGGACCGCAAGGCCUUGCGCGAACGGAGCGGCCGAUGGCAGAUUAGGUAGUUGGUGGGAUAAAAGCUUACCAAGCCGACGAUCUGUAGCUGGUCUGAGAGGACGACCAGCCACACCGGGACUGAGACACGGCCCAGACUCCUACGGGAGGCAGCAGUGGGGAAUUUUGGACAAUGGGCGAAAGCCUGAUCCAGCCAUGCCGCGUGCAGGAUGAAGGCCUUCGGGUUGUAAACUGCUUUUGUACGGAACGAAAAGACUCUGGUUAAUACCUGGGGUCCAUGACGGUACCGUAAGAAUAAGCACCGGCUAACUACGUGCCAGCCGCCGCUGUAAAAC
rnacentral:rRNA from 1 species